rnacentral:tRNA from 2 species
AACUAGAGAGCUUGUAAAUAGCACUUGACUUUUAAUCAAGAGAUAAUAUACUAUUUCUAGUUA